GGUAGCUUAAUAGGUAAAAGCGACCGGCUCAUAACCGGAGGACAGUUGGGUUCAAAUCCCGAAAGAGCCACCA
rnacentral:tRNA from 1 species